CUCGAACACUCUGGAGAGACCGGUUGAAUCCGGCGCCGAAGGUGCACGAAGCGGAAGGAUCGCCGAUCCGGCCGCUUCCAAACUCUCAGGCAAAAGGACAGAGGGGCGCCC
rnacentral:ncRNA from 2 species